CCUACGGGUGGCAGCAGUAGGGAAUUUUCGGCAAUGGGGGGAACCCUGACCGAGCAACGCCGCGUGAACGAAGAAGUUCUUCGUAAUGAAAAGUUCUUUUAACAGGGAAGAAAGAUAAAUUUGACGGUACCUGACGAAUAAGCUCCGGCUAACUACGUGCCAGCAGCCGCGGUAAUACGUAGGGAGGGAGCGUUAGCCGGAUUGAUUGGGUUUAAAGGGUGCGCAGGCUGAAGAUCAAGUCAGCGGUAAAAUUGAGAGGCUCAACCUCUUCGAGCCGUUGAAACUGGUUUACUUGAGUGAGCGAGAAGUAUGCGGAAUGCGUGGUGUAGCGGUGACAUGCAUAGAUAUCACGCAGAACUCCGAUUGCGAAGGCAGCAUACCGGCGCUCAACUGACGCUCAUGCACGAAAGUGUGGGUAGCGAACAGGAUUAGAUACCCCAGUAGUC
rnacentral:rRNA from 1 species